AAUAGAUACCCAGGUAGUCCUAGCUGUAAACGAUGAGCACUGGGUUGAGGGGACUUCCACAUCCUCUCGGCCGUAGCGAAAGCGUUAAGUGCUCCGCCUGGGGAGUAUGGCCGCAAGGCUGAAACUCAAAGGAAUUGACGGGGGGCUCACACAAGCGGUGGAGGAUGUGGCUUAAUUCGAGGCUACGCGAAGAACCUUAUCCUAGAUUUGACAUGGUUGAGAAUCUCCUUGAAAGAGGAGAGUGCCCUUCGGGGAGCUCUUUCACAGGUGCUGCAUGGCUGUCGUCAGCUCGUGUCGUGAGAUGUUGGGUUAAGUCCCUUAACGAGCGAAACCCUUAUCUUUAGUUGCCAGCGGGUCAAGCCGGGGACUCUAAAGAGACUGCCGGUGUCAAACCGGAGGAAGGUGGGGAUGACGUCAAGUCCUCAUGGCCUUUAUGUCUAGGGCUGCACACGUCCUACAAUGGCACGUACAAAGGGAAGCCAAGCCGCGAGGCCGCGCUAAUCCCAAAAAGCGUGCCCCAGUUCGGAUUGCAGG
rnacentral:rRNA from 1 species